rnacentral:misc_RNA from 1 species
UUGGGAAGCAAUUUCUGAAAACUCUUUUGUCUUUUUUCAAAAUUCUGCUUAGUAGACUAGGACUUCCACCAGAAUCAAAUAUGAUCAGCAAUUCUCAUGCAAACCACUCAACACUUCAAAAACAUUACUCUCUCAUUCACAACUCUAAACGGUCUUUUUCAAAUCAGACAAUAUUGGUUUUUGAUUUGGAGGCUGCAUUGUUGAAAUCAUCUUCCUUGUUUCCUUACUUCAUGCUUGUGGCCUUUGAAGCUGGAGGGCUCAUAAGAGCACUCAUCUUGCUUCUUUCGUACCCUUUUCUUUGUUCAGUUGGAAAGGAGCUAGGACUGAAGAUUAUGACUUUUAUAUCUUUUGUUGGGAUUAGAAAAAGUAAGUUCAGAGCUGGAACUGCUGUUCUGCCCAAGUUCUUCCUGGAAGAUGUUGGGUGUGAAGGGUUUGAUCUGGUUAUGUGCUGUGCGAGGAAGAUAGGAGUGAGCAAGUUGCCUAGGAUCAUGGUUGAAGGAUUCUUGAAAGAUUAUAUUGGAGUGGAGGCUGUUUUGGCUAGAGAUAUGAAGGUAGUUCAUGGGUAUUUUGUAGGUUUAAUGGAGGGAAAGGAGGUUGGUUGUACCAGUUUAAAUGAGCUUCUGAUGGAGAAGAAAAUGGGUUCCUAUGCUGUCGGUAUCGGAUGCUCCUCCAACUGGUCGCUCUAUGGGCAACUACUUCGACACUGUAAGGAGGUUUACUCGGUGACCGAAGCAGAGAGGAGAAAUUGGCGAUUUCUGCCACGAGAAAGAUACCCAAAGCCAUUGAUCUUCCACGACGGUAGAUUGAGUUUCAGACCAAGUGCAUUUGCCACGAUUGCCAUGUUCAUGUGGCUUCCAUUCGGGUUUCUGCUCUCCAUCUUUAGAAUCACUGUUGGUCUCUUAUUGCCUUUCGAGAUGUCCAGUUCCAUCCUGGCUUUUACAGGGACUAUAAGCGUAAUAUCUAAACCCAGUCAACCCUUUAACUCGGCCAUGAGCAGAGGAUCGCUCUAUGUUUGUAACCACAAAACGCUACUAGACCCAGUCUAUACCUCAUUAACUAUCAUGAAGCCUGUCACUGCAGUCACCUACAGCGUGAGCAGAUUCAAUGAGGUGAUUUCCCCCAUCAAAACUGUCCGAUUGACUAGAGAUCGGGAUAGAGAUAGAAAACUGAUGGAUAAGAUCCUAAGCCAGGGUGACCUUGUGGUUUGCCCUGAAGGAACAACUUGCAGGGAACCUUACCUACUGAGGUUUAGUCCAUUGUUUGCAGAGAUUGCGGAUGAGAUAGUUCCGGUUGCUAUAGAUGUUCAGAUCAGCAUGUUCUAUGGAUCAACAGCUAGUGGCCUUAAAUGCUUAGACCCAGUAUUUCACUACAUGAACCCACGUCCAAUAUACUUCGUCAAGGUUCUUGAGAAGUUACCAGGUUCCCGGACGUGUAUGAUUGGCGGAAAAUCAACUUUUGAAGUGGCCAAUUAUGUGCAGAAUGAGAUUGCCAAAACUCUAGGAUUUGAGUGCACCAGUCUUACAAGGAAAGACAAAUACAUGAUCUUGGCAGGCAAUAAUGGAAUCAUUUAGGACUACAUGAGACUCGUGCUAGCAGCAAGUAAACUUGUGUUCUUUCAGAAGUAAUUGAAUAAGAAGUAUGUGUAUUUUAGGUGUCCAAAUAUUAACUAGUUUCAAGAAAUAGAUGACUCUAUAUUGCAGUUUCAAGAGGGGAACUUUCACUUCUUUCAUUUCUACCUUAAUUCACAACUUGCACAGCUAUAGCAUGGGGAGAAGGAAAUCUGCAACUUGUAAAUCACCAUAAAUCAGAUUUGGAUAUCUUAUAUAUGUAGUUGCCAGCGGAUGAAUUACUGAUAUAGACAGCUGUACGCGAACUUACACAGUUAUAAUGGAUUACAGAUUAACUAAGACAGCAAACAAUGCUUGGAUGAAGGCUCCAUAUUCCACUCAACAUCUCCACAUGCUCCCAUGACUGAAGUGAAGAUAUAAUCAUCCAUCUCAAUACCCUCUGCCUGCAUCCGAUACAUGAGCUUCAAUGCCUCUCGGCAGCGUCCAUUCCUUGCAUAACCCAAAAUCAUUGUUUUCCAAGAAAUCAAGUUCCGCUCUGGCAUACUGUCAAAAACUUGAAUUGCAUCUGAUAAAUAUCCACACUUGGAAUACAUAUAAAUUAAUGCACUACCUACAAAGACAUUAGAUGAAGCUGGUGUCUUGUUGGCAAAGGAGUGUAUCAAUUUUCCUUGCAGAAUAGCAUCGAGAUUAGCACAAGCUUUCAAAGCUGAUGAACAAGUAAAUGCGUUUGGUUCCACGCCUUCCUCCAUCAUUUCUUUCAAGAACUCAAGAGCCUCAGGCUCAUGCCCAAGACCUGCAUAACCAGAAAUCAUUGCAGUCCAUGAGACAACACUUCUGAGAGGUAUCUGUUCAAGGACUUUUGAAGCAAUAUGAAACUCCCCACAUUUACAAUAGAACCACACGAGAGUGCUUCCUAUGUACUCAUUUGAUUGAAUCCUGUUCUUGAUAAUUUGUGCAUGAACUUCUUGCCCUGUUAGCAAGGCCCUGAUUGAGCCACAAGCCUUGAGAAUGCUCACAACGGUUAAGUUAUUAGAAAUUACCCUCCGUUGUUUCAUCACUUGAAAGAGACUUAUGGCCUCCUCACCAAGCCCCUUCCUCGCAUAACCUGCUAUAAUGGAAGUCCACGUAACUGUAUUUCUCUUCCUCAUUCUAUUAAACACUUUUCUAGAAUCUAAAAUCUCCCCACAUUUUGCAUACAUGUCCACCAAGGAGGACCCUAUAAAAACAUCAUCUUUAUACAUCUUCUUAACUAUGGCACCAUGUAGCUGUUUCCCAAACCUCAAUGCCUUCUUCUCUCCGCAAGCCUUUAGGACAGCACAUGCUGUAAACUCAUUAGGCAAAAAUCCCUCAGCCAACAUUUGUGAGAGCAUCCCAAAAGCCUCCUCUUCGUGCCCUUGUUGGGAGAAAGCAGUAAUCAUAGUUGUCCAACAAACCACAUCCCUUUCCGCCAUCUGAUCAAAUGCAUUGCAUGCGCCUGUUAACUCACCGCAUUGGGCAUAGAAAGAAACAACGGCACUAUCCAGAAUUAAGUUCCUCCAAUUACCCUUUACAACACGAGCAUGGAGUUGCCUCCCUAACUCAAAAUCUAAUCUUUUACUACAUAAAUUUAAUACACACACAAGCGUCCUGCUGUUUGCUACAACCCCAUUCUCUAUAAAGUCACUAAACAACCUCAAGGCCUCAUCAUCUAAACCAAAACUAAUGUAACCGUUAAUCAUAGCCGUCCAACUAACAACAUUUCGCUCCGGCAUUCCAUCAAACACCUUUCGCGCCUCAAUUAAUUGCCCUAAUUUCAAGUACGCACUAAUCAUAUUGUUAUUAACAUACGUGACCGAGUUCCUCAAGCAUUUCAAAGCAACCGCGUGUAUUCUCUUAACUUCCUUUGCUCUGUAACAUGACCGAAGCCAAAGUGCAAGCACACCAGAAUCAACGAAAUGUGUUGCCAAUUGAGUACCCGACAAGUCGACAUCCGAGCUUCCCUGGAACUCAAAUGCGGAACUAUUGGCGGUUGAGAAGCGAAAUUGGGAGGCAGAGGUUGAAUUAGUAUCAUUAUUGCAAGACAAGCAAUGGAAAUUUGUAGGACUUACAUGGCUAUUGCUUCUUGUUUUUGGGGAUUGUAGUGGUUGAAUAGCGAGAAGUGAAGGCUGUAUCAACAGAGUAUUAUUCAGUGAGAAGCACGUUAACGAGAGCAUUUGCCUGGUUAGUGCAAAAUUUUCCAAGAAGCUCUGAUUGCAGGCCCGAAAAUUUUGGGAGCCAUUUGGGCGGGCGUUGGCAACUACCUUU